rnacentral:lncRNA from 1 species
AUGGCUUUAAUCCAUCGCUUAGUUGUCUGGGUUGGUGAUAAAAGAUGGAAACACAUUGUCUUCCUUUGUGUGGAUCGCUAUGUGAGGAAAUACAGGGCUCAAAAAAGAGAAUCUCAACAUACAAAACAGUUUUAUGAAAGCCUACCUGUAUAUUUUAAAAUGAGGAAGAACUCAGACAAAUCUCUCAAAGACAGUGAUACAGUGAAGUUAUGUUGA